GACGAACGCUGGCGGCGUGCUUAACACAUGCAAGUCGAACGGAAAGGCCCUGCUUUUGUGGGGUGCUCGAGUGGCGAACGGGUGAGUAACACGUGAGUAACCUGCCCUUGACUUUGGGAUAACUUCAGGAAACUGGGGCUAAUACCGGAUAGGAGCUCCUGCUGCAUGGUGGGGGUUGGAAAGUUUCGGCGGUUGGGGAUGGACUCGCGGCUUAUCAGCUUGUUGGUGGGGUAGUGGCUUACCAAGGCUUUGACGGGUAGCCGGCCUGAGAGGGUGACCGGCCACAUUGGGACUGAGAUACGGCCCAGCCUCCUACGGGAGGCAGCAGUGGGGAAUAUUGCACAGUGGGCGGAAGCCUGAUGCAGCAACGCCGCGUGCGGGAUGACGGCCUUCGGGUUGUAAACCGCUUUCGCCUGUGACGAAGCGUGAGUGACGGUAAUGGGUAAAGAAGCACCGGCUAACUACGUG
rnacentral:rRNA from 1 species